GGCCGGUUGGCCCAAUGGCAAGGCGUCUGACUACGAUUGAAAAUGUUAUCAGGAGAUUCUGGGUUCGACCCCCAGGCUGGUCA